rnacentral:rRNA from 1 species
UACGUAGGGUGCGAGCGUUGUCCGGAAUUAUUGGGCGUAAAGAGCUCGUAGGCGGUCUGUCGCGUCUGCUGUGAAAACCCGGGGCUCAACCCCGGGCUUGCAGUGGAUACGGGCAGACUAGAGUUCGGUAGGGGAGACUGGAAUUCCUGGUGUAGCGGUGAAAUGCGCAGAUAUCAGGAGGAACACCGAUGGCGAAGGCAGGUCACUGGGCCGCGAACUGACGCUGAGGAGCGAAAGACAUGGGGAGCGAACAGG